rnacentral:lncRNA from 1 species
AAAAAAGAAAAACACACAUAAUUCAUCUAGAUUUCUCUAACAUCACCACACACAUGGUGUUCCUCAUCAGUCUUCACGCAUAGCUAACUAAAACGCUGCAAGCUAAUCCCGGUCUGGAAUCUGAGCAAGCUAAUCCUGAUCUACAACUUGGCCAGUACCCGAUCUGCAAAUCGGCCAGUUCUGUCGGUUCAGAGCAAGCUAUCUAAACCGUUGAUUUCUCGAAGUACGAACCGGAGAAUUGAGUCAAAUCGUCAAAUCCGGAGCAAUUAAACUGCUGGUUUCGUGUUUAGAUGCAUAUAUCGUUGAGUAUGAUCUCAAAGUAUCAAUCUUUUGUUCAAGUAAUAUCUAAGACUGGAGGGAUGGGUGGCAGACGGCGGGUGGUAGUUGGGGUUGGGUGGCGGUGGCCGGGUGGCAGUGGCUAG